rnacentral:rRNA from 1 species
GAUGAACGCUGGCGGCGUGCUUAACACAUGCAAGUCGAACGAUUAAACUGGCUUCGGCCAGAUAUAGAGUGGCGAACGGGUGAGUAACACGUGACCAACCUGCCCCGCGCUCCGGGACAACCGCUGGAAACGGCGGCUAAUACCGGAUGCUCCGGGGAGGCCCCAUGGCCUCCCCGGGAAAGCCUUAACGGCGCGGGAUGGGGUCGCGGCCCAUUAGGUAGACGGCGGGGUAACGGCCCACCGUGCCCGCGAUGGGUAGCCGGACUGAGAGGUCGACCGGCCACAUUGGGACUGAGAUACGGCCCAGACUCCUACGGGAGGCAGCAGUGGGGAAUUUUGCGCAAUGGGGGAAACCCUGACGCAGCAACGCCGCGUGCGGGACGAAGGCCUUCGGGUUGUAAACCGCUUUCAGCAGGGAAGACU